rnacentral:rRNA from 1 species
UGGGAACCUUCCCUAUGGUUCGGAAUAGCUCAGGGAAACUUGGGGUAAUACCGGAUAAGCCCUUCGGGGGAAAGAUUUAUCGCCGAAAGAUUGGCCCGCGUCUGAUUAGCUAGUUGGUGAGGUAAUGGCUCACCAAGGCGACGAUCAGUAGCUGGUCUGAGAGGGUGACCGGCCACACUGGGACUGAGACACGGCCCAGACUCCUACGGGAGGCAG